rnacentral:misc_RNA from 1 species
AUGAAGAACGCAGCGAAAUGCGAUACGUAAUGUGAAUUGCAGAAUUCAGUGAAUCAUCGAAUCUUUGAACGCAUAUUGCGCUCUCUGGUAUUCCGGAGAGCAUGCUUGUUUGAGUAUCAGUAAACACCUCAACUUCCAUAUCUUUUUUGAAAUGGGAGUUGGACUUGAGUGAUCCCAACGCUUUUCCUCACCGAAAAGUGGCGGGUUACUUGAAAUGCAGGUGCAGCUGGACUUUUCUCUGAGCUAUAAGCAUAUCUAUUUAGUCUGCCUAAAAAACAGAUUAUUACCUUUGCUGCAGCUAACAUAAAGGAGAUUAGUUCUUGUUCUGACUGAUGCAGGAUUCACAAAGACGGCUUCGGCCGACUUUGUAAACUCGAUCUCAAAUCAAGUAAGACUACCCGCUGAACUUAAGCAUAUCAAUAAGCGGAGGA